UCUAGUUACGCCGGAAGUCCCGCCUCCUGAAACUGAAGAAGACGUUGUUGAUUGGGCCAGGUUGCUGACGAACUUGUGGGAGGGGUUUUGCCUUAUUUACUCUACCUGUUGGCUUCUAACAAGGGAGUUGAAUGAAAAGAUGACUAAUUAAACACAUCUGUGUUACGGCUAAUUUCUACGAGUCUUCCACGUGGUGCAGCAGGUAAAUAAGUCACCCAGGAAAGAAAGCCACAUGGGACCCUGCACAGAGAGACUGAAGUCUAGCAAUCUAGCAGAGGCCAGCUCUCCAUCAGCCCAGAGUGAGACAGAGCAGCCAAUGCUACAGUAUGCCUCGGAGGGAAAUUGGAUGGUGCAGAACUCCGAAGGCUUAACUAUCAGACUGCAUCAAGGAAUGUUUUCCAAAUGGAAGGUUUGGGCAGAGCUGAGUUGGAGAUGUGAAAAGAGUAGAAGGCAUCCAAUCACUGAGUGGAAAGCUGCUAGUUCCUGAAAGAAAAGUGGUGUGUGUGUGUGUGUGUGUGUGUGUGUGUGACUAAAUACAACUAAAGUAAUGGCAGCCUCUUAUGUGGCUCAGCAAUAAAUAAUAGCUGCUUUUAAAAAAAAAAUCAA